GAGGGUACAGCUCAGUGGUACAGUGCGUGCCUAGCAUGCAUGAGGUCCUGGGUUCAAUCCCCAGUACUUCCA
rnacentral:tRNA from 1 species